CAAGUCGAACGAGAAAGGGGAGCAAUCCCUGAGUACAGUGGCGUACGGGUGAGUAACACGUGGAUGAUCUACCUCUUAGUGGGGAAUAACUAUGGGAAACCGUAGCUAAUACCGCAUAAGCCUGAGAAGGGAAAGCAGCAAUGCGCUGAGAGAGGAGUCCGCGGCCGAUUAGCUAGUUGGUGGGGUAAAGGCCCACCAAGGCUGAGAUCGGUAGCCGGCCUGAGAGGGCACACGGCCACACUGGCACUGAAACACGGGCCAGACUCCUACGGGAGGCAGCAGUGGGGAAUCUUGCACAAUGGGGGAAACCCUGAUGCAGCGACGCCGCGUGAGCGAUGAAGCCCUUCGGGGUGUAAAGCUCUUUCGGCAGGGAAGAUUAUGACGGUACCUGCAGAAGCAGCUGCGGCUAACUACGUGCCAGCAGCCGCGGUAAUACGUAGGCAGCAAGCGUUGUUCGGAGUUACUGGGCGUAAAGGGUGUGUAGGCGGUUGUUUAAGUUUGGUGUGAAAUCUCCCGGCUCAACCGGGAGGGUGCGCCGAAUACUGAAUGACUAGAGUGCGGGAGAGGAAAGUGGAAUUCCUGGUGUAGCGGUGAAAUGCGUAGAUAUCAGGAGGAACACCGGUGGUGUAGACGGCUUUCUGGACCGUAACUGACGCUGAGACACGAAAGCGUGGGUAGCAAACAGGAUUCGAUACCCUGGUAGUCCACGCCCUAAACGAUGCAUAUUUGGUGUGGGCAGUUCAUUCUGUCCGUGCCGGAGCUAACGCGUUAAAAUAUGCCGCCUGGGGAGUACAGUCGCAAGGCUGAAACUCAAAGGAAUUUGACGGGGGCCCGCACAAGCGGUGGAGCA
rnacentral:rRNA from 1 species